AUGGGAGGCGGUGGCUAAACGUCAGAUCUAAGUGAGCGUGGUUUGGCCGGAGAUCGGAGAUCGGAGAUGUGGUGAGCUAGUUGUAGUGUCCGACGAUGGUGUGGUGGUGAGGUGGGAUUUCAUGUUUGUGGUGGUGGAUCUGAAUCGGAAGACAGGGGUGGUGGAGAAAGAUUUGAGUUAUUGGAUUCAAGCUUUUUUUGAUUGUUUGGCGGUGGGGGAGUGA
rnacentral:lncRNA from 1 species